GAUGAACGCUGGCGGCGUGCCUAAUACAUGCAAGUCGAGCGAACGGACGAGAAGCUUGCUUCUCUGAUGUUAGCGGCGGACGGGUGAGUAACACGUGGAUAACCUACCUAUAAGACUGGGAUAACUUCGGGAAACCGGAGCUAAUACCGGAUAAUAUUUUGAACCGCAUGGUUCAAAAGUGAAAGACGGUCUUGCUGUCACUUAUAGAUGGAUCCGCGCUGCAUUAGCUAGUUGGUAAGGUAACGGCUUACCAAGGCAACGAUGCAUAGCCGACCUGAGAGGGUGGUCGGCCACACGGGAACUGAGACACGGUCCAGACUCCGACGGGAGGAAGCAGUAGGGAAUCUUCCGCAAUGGGCGAAAGCCUGACGGAGCAACGCCGCGUGAGUGAUGAAGGUCUUCGGAUCGUAAAACUCUGUUAUUAGGGAAGAACAUAUGUGUAAGUAACUGUGCACAUCUUGACGGUACCUAAUCAGAAAGCCACGGCUAACUACGUG
rnacentral:rRNA from 1 species